rnacentral:rRNA from 1 species
UACAGAGGUCUCAAGCGUUGUUCGGAUUCAUUGGGCGUAAAGGGUGCGUAGGCGGCGCGGUAAGUCGGGUGUGAAAUCUCGGGGCUUAACUCCGAAACUGCAUUCGAUACUGCCGUGCUUGAGGACUGGAGAGGAGACUGGAAUUUACGGUGUAGCGGUGAAAUGCGUAGAUAUCGUAAGGAAGACCAGAGGCGAAGGCGGGUCUCUGGACAGUUCCUGACGCUGAGGCACGAAGGCCAGGGGAGCAAACCGG